GCCGGGGUGGCGGAAUGGUAUACGCGGUAGUCUCAAAAACUACUAGUCGCAAGGCUGUGUGGGUUCGACUCCCUCCCCCGGCACCA
rnacentral:tRNA from 2 species